AAUUAGUUAAAAUAUUAAAUAAUAUAUGCUUGUCAAGCUUAAGUUGCUGCAACUAAUUCGCAGUAUUUUCCU
rnacentral:tRNA from 1 species